GGGGGCGAAAGGGUUUCGACGGCAGGUGAAACACCGCGGGAUGCAGGCCGGGGCGGGCAACCCCGUCAACAAGCCCAAGAACCAAAAUAAGUGCGAACGCGAAUUACGCCCUGGCGGCCUAAUUGACCGCCACCUCUUCCGGGAAGCUCCCCACCCGGCUCCCGGGAGGGGUCGGUUAGGGUGGGGUUCCCCUAAGGGUUUUCCCGUUUUCCCGAGGGGGAACUAGAUAAAAACGGGCGUCCCCAUCUCGGGAAGCGCCCCGAUGCCCAUGGGAUGGGGCGAAUCCAAAAGAAGGGGCUAAGCCUGUAACACAUCCCGCGGCGAGUAACCUGUACGGACGCGGGUUCGAUUCCCGCCGCCUCCACUU
rnacentral:tmRNA from 1 species